GAUUAACGCUGGCGGCGUGCAUAACACAUGCAAGUCGAACGAUGAAACUUAGUCGACUUCUUCCGAAAGACACUAAGCGGAUUAGUGGCGAACGGGUGAGUAACGCGUGAUUAACCUGCCUUACACAAGUGGAUAGCCUUUUGAAACGAAGAAUAAUACCCUAUAAAACCAUAAAAGCACAUGCUAGAAUGGGCAAAGUGAUAACGGUGUAAGAUGGACUUGCGUCUGAUUAGCUAGUUGGUGAGAUAAAAGCUCACCAAGGCGACGAUCAGUAGCCGGCGUGAGAGAGGGACAGGGGGACUUGGGUAUGAGACACGGCCCAGACUCAUACGGGAGGCAGCAGUGGGGAAUUUGGCACAAAGGGGGGAACCAUGAUGCAGCGACGCCGGGUGAUUGAGAAGGCGUUCGGGUUGUAAAACUCUUUUGUCUAGGCAGAAAAUGACAGUACUAGAAGAAUAAGGUCCGGCUAACUACGUG
rnacentral:rRNA from 1 species